GGCGGAAUAGCUCAGUUGGCUAGAGCGCUCGGUUCAUACCCGAAUGGUCGUUGGUUCAAAUCCGACUUCCGCUACCA
rnacentral:tRNA from 3 species